rnacentral:rRNA from 1 species
AACGAACGCUGGCGGCAUGCCUAACACAUGCAAGUCGAACGAGACCUUCGGGUCUAGUGGCGCACGGGUGCGUAACGCGUGGGAACCUGCCCUUAGGUUCGGAAUAACUCCCUUUAUGGGGUGCUAAUACCGGAUAAUGUCUUCGGACCAAAGUUUUAUCGCCUUUGGAUUGGCCCGCGUUGGUUUAGCUUGUUGGUUGGGUAAAAGCCUACCAAGGCCUCGAUCCAUAUCUGGUCUGAGAGGAUGAUCAGCCACACUGGGACUGAGACACGGCCCAGACUACUACGGGAGGCAGCAGUGGGGAAUAUUGGACAAUGGACGAAAGCCUGAUCCAGCAAUGCCGCGUGAGUGAUGAAGGCCUUAGGGUUGUAAAGCUCUUUUACCCGGGAUGAUAAUGACAGGACCGGGAGAAUAAGCUCCGGCUAACUCCGUG